AGGACGAACGCUGGCGGCGUGCUUAACACAUGCAAGUCGAGCGGAAAGGCCCUUCGGGGUACUCGAGCGGCGAACGGGUGAGUAACACGUGAGUAAUCUGCCCCUAGCUCUGGGAUAGCUCCGGGAAACCGGGAUUAAUACCAGAUACGACCACUUUAGACAUCUGCUGUGGUGGAAAGAAUUUCGGCUAGGGAUGAGCUCGCGGCCUAUCAGCUUGUUGGUGAGGUAACGGCUCACCAAGGCGACGACGGGUAGCCGGCCUGAGAGGGCGACCGGCCACACUGGGACUGAGACACGGCCCAGACUCCUACGGGAGGCAGCAGUGGGGAAUAUUGCGCAAUGGGCGAAAGCCUGACGCAGCGACGCCGCGUGGGGGAUGAAGGCCUUCGGGUUGUAACCCCUUUCAGCAGGGACGAAGCGAAAGUGACGGUACCUGCAGAAGAAGCGCCGGCUAACUACGCGCCAGCAGCCGC
rnacentral:rRNA from 1 species